CCUACGGGUGACUGCAGUGGGGAAUAUUGGACAAUGGCGGAAACCCUGAUCCAGCGACGUCGCGUGAGUGAAGAAGUAUUUCUGUACGUAAAGCUCUAUCAGCAGGAAAGAAAAUGACGGUACCUGACUAAGAUGCCCCGGCUAACUACGUGCCAGCAGCCGCGGUAAUACGGAGGGGGCAAGCGUUAUCCGGAUUUACUGGGUGUAAAGGGAGCGUAGACGGCAGCGCAAGUCUGGAGUGAAAGGCCGGGGCCCAACCCCGGAACUGCUCUGGAAACUGUGGAGCUGGAGUGCAGGAGAGGUAAGCGGAAUUCCUGGUGUAGCGGUGAAAUGCGUAGAUAUCAGGAAGAACACCGGCGGCGAAGGCAGCUUACUGGACUGUAACUGACGUUGAGGCUCGAAGGCGUGGGGAGCAAACAGGAUUAGAUACCCUUGUAGUC
rnacentral:rRNA from 1 species